UGCAUUUGUAGCUCAUGAGGAUGAGAACCUCCGGGGGCAGGGAGGUUCGACUCGAGCGAAGCGAGAGAACGUUGCGCCAGCAACGGCCCGCAGGGCGAGCCACGAAGUGGCGAGUAAUCCUCUAUCACCGACCA
rnacentral:sRNA from 3 species